rnacentral:rRNA from 1 species
AUUGAACGCUGGCGGCAGGCCUAACACAUGCAAGUCGAACGAGUGGCGGACGGGUGAGUAAUGUCUGGGAAACUGCCUGUUGGAGGGGGAUAACUACUGGAAACGGUAUCUAAUACCGCAUACCCUCGGAUGUGCCCAGAUGGGAUUGGCUAGUAGGGGGGGUAAAGGCUCACCUAGGCGACGAUCCCUAGCUGGUCUGAGAGGAUGACCAGCCACACUGGAACUGAGACACGGUCCAGACUCCUACGGGAGGAAGAAGGGGGGAAUAUUGCACAAGGGGGGCAAGCCUGGUGCAGCCAGGCCGCGUGGAGGAAGAAGGCCUUCGGGUGGUAAAGUACUUUAAGCGGGGAGGCGGUACCCGCAGAAGAAGCAACGGCUAACUCCGUGCCAGCAGCCGCGGUAAUUC